UGUCUCUCUGCUGUACUGGAGAAUCCUCACUGUAAACUGGAGAUACUGAGAUUCUGCAAGGGAUUCCCAAACUUUUGAAAUGCCACUGUAGGUACAAGGAGAGGAGAAGUGUUGUGUACUGAGUAAUGAACCUAGAGGCACCCCAGUUACAACAUGUUGUAACUUACUGUACAAACCUAACCCUGACACCCUGAAGGACAUACCUGAGAGGUAAGACUUGGACAACUUAAAUGAGGUUCCAAAGACACGGACAAUCAGGUGGAUAACUGCUCCAAAAGCCGCAAACAAAUCCAGCAACACGAGCACAGAUGAUUUCAAAUAAUAAUAAUAACCAAGAGCAGGACAGUCUUAGUUGAGUGGCCUCUUUGGAAACCAGAAUAGUACAAGAGGUUGCUCUGUGUAAGAAAGCACAGUUUUAACAUGACUCAUUCAUUAAAUUAAUACAAUUUUCUACUGAAGUGUUUUAUUGAUAAAAUGUUU